ACAGGAUUAGAUACCCUGGUAGUCCACACUGUAAACGAUGAUAACUCGCUGUCGGCGAUACACAGUCGGUGGCCAAGCGAAAGCAUUAAGUUAUCCACCUGGGGAGUACGACCGCAAGGUUGAAACUCAAAGGAAUUGACGGGGGCCCGCACAAGCGGAGGAACAUGUGGUUUAAUUCGAUGAUACGCGAGGAACCUUACCCGGGCUCGAACGGUGCAUGAAUAUACGAGAGAUUGUAUAGUCCUUCGGGACAUGUAUCGAGGUGCUGCAUGGUUGUCGUCAGCUCGUGCCGUGAGGUGUUGGCUUAAGUGCCAUAACGAGCGCAACCCUUAUUGCUAGUUGCUAACAGGUCAUGCUGAGGACUCUAGUGAGACUGCCGUCGUAAGAUGUGAGGAAGGAGGGGAUGACGUCAAAUCAGCACGGCCCUUAUGUCCAGGGCGACACACGUGUUACAAUGGGAGGAUCAACGGGCAGCUACCUAGCGAUAGGAUGCUAAUCUCUAAACCCUCUCUCAGUUCGGAUUGAAGUCUGCAAUUCGACUUCAUGAAGCUGGAUUCGCUAGUAAUCGCGCAUCAGCCACGGCGCGGUGAAUACGUUCCCGGGCCUUGUACACACCGCCCGUCAAGCCAUGGAAGCCGAGGGUACCUGAAGUAUGUAACCGCAAGGAGCGUCCUAGGGUAAGAUCGGUGACUGGGGCUAAGUCGU
rnacentral:rRNA from 1 species